AGCAGCCGCGGUAAUUCCAGCUCCAAUAGCGUAUAUUAAAGUUGUUGCAGUUAAAAAGCUCGUAGUUGAAUUUCGGGAUCAGUUGGUCGGUCGUGCCUCGGUACGUACUGGUCAAAUUGAUUCCUACCUUCUGACGAACCACGAUGUCAUUAAUUUGGUGUCGCGGGAAAUCAGGACUGUUACUUUGAAAAAUUAGAGUGUUUAAAGCAGGCUCGCGCUUGAAUACAUUAGCAUGGAAUAAUGAAAUAGGACGUUUGAUUCUAUUUUGUUGGUUUCUAGGAUUCGACGUAAUGAUUAAUAGGGAUAGUUGGGGGCAUUAGUGUUCAAUUGUCAGAGGUGAAAUUCUUGGAUUUAUUGAAGUACUAACUACUGCGAAAGCAUUUGCCAAGGAUGUUUUCAUUAAUCAAGAACGAAAGUUAGGGGAUCGAAGACGAUCAGAUACCGUCGUAGUCUUAACCAUAAACCUAUAGCCGACUAGGGAUCGGAUGGAUGUUAAUUUUUUAAUGUACUCA
rnacentral:rRNA from 1 species